rnacentral:lncRNA from 1 species
CAUGUUCAAUAAGGGAGCUACCAUUUGAUUUUUAUGGGGGGGGCUAGGAUGAAAUUUGAAAAAAAUAGGCAGGACAGGAGUUUUGAGUUAAAAAAAAGGCAGGAUGAGACACUUGCAAAAAAAAAAAAAGUCAGGACGACAAUUUAGGUAAGAAAAAGUCAGGAUAAACUAAAAAAAAAAAAGCAGGACCAAACAGAGUAAAAAAUAAAAAGGCAGGACAGAGAUUACAGCUAAAAAAAAAUGCAGGUCAAAAUUUUUCAUCCUAGCCCCCCCAUAAAAAUCAAAUGGUAGCUCCCUAAGACCAA